rnacentral:rRNA from 1 species
GAUGAACGCUGGCGGCGUGCCUAAUACAUGCAAGUCGAGCGAACAGAUGAGGAGCUUGCUCCUCUGACGUUAGCGGCGGACGGGUGAGUAACACGUGGAUAACCUACCUAUAAGACUGGGAUAACUUCGGGAAACCGGAGCUAAUACCGGAUAAUAUAUUGAACCGCAUGGUUCAAUAGUGAAAGACGGUUUUGCUGUCACUUAUAGAUGGAUCCGCGCCGCAUUAGCUAGUUGGUAAGGUAACGGCUUACCAAGGCAACGAUGCGUAGCCGACCUGAGAGGGUGAUCGGCCACACUGGAACUGAGACACGGUCCAGACUCCUACGGGAGGCAGCAGUAGCGAAUCUUCCGCAAUGGGCGAAAGCCUGACGGGGCAACGCCGCGUGAGUGAUGAAGGUCUUCGGAUCGUAAAACUCUGUUAUUAGGGAAGAACAAAUGUGUAAGUAACUAUGCACGUCUUGACGGUACCUAAUCAGAAAGCCACGGCUAACUACGUG